GACGAACGCUGGCGGCGUGCUUAACACAUGCAAGUCGAACGGAAAGGCCCUGCUUGCAGGGUACUCGAGUGGCGAACGGGUGAGUAACACGUGGGUGAUCUGCCCUGCACUUCGGGAUAAGCCUGGGAAACUGGGUCUAAUACCGGAUAGGAGCCAUUUUUAGUGUGAUGGUUGGAAAGUUUUUUCGGUGUAGGAUGAGCUGGCGGCCUAUCAGCUUGUUGGUGGGGUAAUGGCCUACCAAGGCGGCGACGGGUAGCCGGCCUGAGAGGGUGGACGGCCACAUUGGGACUGAGAUACGGCACAGACUCCUACGGGAGGCAGCAGGGGGGAAUAUUGCACAAUGGGCGCAAGCCUGAUGCAGCGACGCCGCGUGGGGGAUGACGGCCUUCGGGUUGUAAACUCCUUUCGCUAGGGACGAAGCUUUUUGUGACGGUACCUAGAUAAGAAGCACCGGCUAACUACGUG
rnacentral:rRNA from 1 species